rnacentral:miRNA from 1 species
UACCUCAAGAGAGCCAGUCU